AAUGUACUUCAUCGACUUUGAUGUGGUACUGUGCAAGCCUUCGUAGCUUGUGACCCAAAGUUGGAUGCUGUUAUUUGGAUAUAUGUGUUGUCAAGUGCUUUGAAACAGUGUCAGAGUUUAGUAUUAGUUGGGACUGUUUGGCUUGAGCAUAACUGGUUUUAUCAUAAGUAAUUUGAGUAGCUGGACUUGCAUAAUUACAAAUCACCGCACGGGUAAUGUCUUAGUUUGGAUAAUACGCUAUACUGAUAACGAUGCUUCCUUUGUCCUGAUCAAGCAAAUUUGUUGAUUCUGGAUUUUUUGCCACUUGAACAUCCUCCAGAACAUCUUGUCUUCACUGUUAUUAAAAAAAUUUUAAAAAUAAAGACAUUUGAAAGAGAGAAGACUUCAGAUUCUCCUCAAUCAUCAAAUCUCUUGUCAAGCAACAGGUUUCUAGUGGAUGAGAUCUUUCUUGCUCUGCAAAUGAGAAGAAACUUUAAGGUUCCUGUUUGCUGCUGUGAUGAAGAGAUUCUGGAAUUUGACAAAAGUCUGUCACUGCUCCUCAAAUCUAUGCAAAA